CUCUUCACCAGGAUAUCACAAUAUUGAGUCUGAAGAAUCUUCAGAAGAAGAUGAAAGUGUUAACAGCGACGUGGACAAUCAAGAGGACGAAGCUAUCGAGGAGAUCAGUGUCCUGAAAGCCAUAAAAUACGGUCCAAGCCAGGUUUCAGACGGUUAAAUUUUGGAGAAGUUCCUGAAACGGAAGAGGAGCAAGAAUAUUCCCAAUUGGACUACAGAGAAGCCCAGAGAGGGGUAAAAAAAAGAUGGAAGAGAUGUCUACCUAAACCCACCAGCCUUUGUCAUUGGAGAGUCCCCAAAUAUUGACAGGGCCAUGGAAAGUAAUGCAAAUGACGUGAAAUUUUUGUGGUACAUUAAUGUUGUAACAGCCAAGGCAGACUCUAGACACUCGUACUCUCGAGUCCUAGAGUGAAAGCUUAUCUUUCAAGGAAGGAGUCCUCAAUGGCCCUCCUAACAUUUGUGUCGUUAAUUCCCUGAUAGCCUUGCAAGAUUGUGGUAAUGGUGUGCUCAUCGUAUUGGGAAAGUCUAAAGUGUUAAUCCCGUAGCAACCUUUGGGUUGGACUUGGUCAAGUAUUUUAAUCAAAAUACCUGACCAACCCUAGAUUCAAGGGCAAACCAUAACUGCCAACUCUAAUUCGUUGAAGGAUCAAAGGUUAUAUCAAAAACAGAUCAAAUAAAUUGAUACCUUGAACUGCCAGCGAGCCCAUUUCCAGUUACAAAAACUUCAUUUGUUGUCUCAUUUUGGUUAGAAAAAUCCUAAGCACACAAUUGCAUUGUCUAGGCUAAGUUGUCCAUUGAAUUUCUACAUUUGAUGAAAAAGGUACUCAUUUCAUCCAAUUGUGACGUAUUGCACAGUAUUGUACGAAGUGAGAAAGGAGGGACAACAAGAACUGUUCCACGGCAUGGUUUUAGCAGAAGCCAAAAUGACACUCAUUCUUCACUUCUAGCCACUCAUGAGAAAAGUACAUUUACUUUCAUUCAAGUCUUUUGUCAAUGUGCGACCUAAUCUAUUGUACUUCUUGUUAGAUGAUUUAUUGAUAUUGACUUCCCCAGGAACGUACUCUAUUGCUCCAACAAUCUCUGCAUUUGCCGAUGGUAACUUGUCCUUAUCAUAAUUGUUGCUCAUCUGAGCCAACACCACCACGGGUGGGCAAAAAAAAUGUUUGGGACUCACUUUCUAAUGAUUUUGUACUUGUAAGAGUCAUUCCUACAAAUGGUUUAGUUUUAGCGUUUAAAGUUCAAUUUUUUCGACAUUGCAUUCAAUCACGUUGAUUGAUCGGAGACUCUGUUCUUUCCAUAAUUUUAGCCUUCAAAAGUUAUGCAAUUUCAAGUUGCCUACUCUCAAUGUACAAUCACCGAAUGGUCGCUGUUGGCUAGAUAUUUAUUGCAUUCUUGCGGAGGUAUUUAAACAGAGGGAAAAUUUCUAUGACAAGUAUGAUUGUAGGAGCAAGAGUAAUGGGGAAUUGCUCGCGGUGACUAAAGUAUAACACUUGUGUGUUAUGUUUACUUCUGUCAUGAACAUGCAAUAUAGGGGACUCUAAAAUAUACCUCUCGUGAACUCAAACCUGUCCAUGCCCUCUGUUCUUCCCCCUUAGUGGACAUCCUCGCCGCUUUUGGAAAAAGAAUCCUUGUAAUUUGAAGUAGUAAGUACUGAUAUAUCUUACUUAGCUUUUAAUUCAUGUAAUACCUGAUCCACCGACGAAUUAGAGUUCAAUUCCCUCGCUGCCCCGCUUUAUGCUCUGAAUAAAACUAUUUUUUGAUGUGAGACUUUACUUUUUCGUGAGUCUUUUUGUUGCUUGGAGUGCUUGAAGCAUUUUGCUGAGUGCUUGAUGUGAAUACGCCAUUUCACUUUUCGGUCAUCACAUUCUCUUUUAUUUUGUUUUAUUUCUUCACGUUCAGUGUGACAAAUCUCUUUAUUUUCACUUUAGUCUUGUAUUUUACUAACUUCGUGACCACCAUUGGGAUUGGAAUCAGCAGUUCGAAAUGAAAUAGUUAUAUAUCUCUUUCAGUCUUAAAUUUAUAACCUGAUAUACCUGAUCCACCAACGAAUUAGAGUUCGUGGAUCUGGUUAGCCCUUGAAUACAGGUUUAAUCUGGAAUAUUGACCAAAAGCUUGUCCAAGUAAAACUUAAAGGAGGCUACUGGAUCAACACCUCCGUACUCUCCACGAAUAUUUGGGGGGGAGCAAAAAAUCGUCGGCAUAGUUAUGGUUACCCGAGCACGAGUCCGAGUUCUGUAAGGCCAAAGAAAUAUUGACGUCACCCGCGGUCUUCAAACCGUUCGACCCCGAUUUACCAACUUACUGAUGCUUCGAAACUCCACGGACUUGGAUUUGCACUCGUCCAACGGGGACCGGUAAUCGGGGGCGACGGCAACGUUCGUCUGGUCCAGUGUGGAUCAUGCGAUGCGCUUUGUUACCAGCACAGAAAAACUAUGCCACAGUGGAGUUGGUUUGUUGUGCAGAAAUGCAGAAACCAUUGGCAGCCUUAAACAAUACUCGAUUACAGAGGCUGCGGGAAAACCUCUACCAAUACUCUUUCUCAGUGACAUGGUCAGCGGGAAAAAACCACUUGAUCGCCGAUGCACUGAGCCGUUUCUCGUUUUUUUGCGGCCGACCCCUCACUUGACGUAGCAUUAUGCGCCACCAUUUGUGAGGUCGACCCCGCCAUCAAUAUCCUCCUCUCAAACAUUGACAACAAAUAUAACCAUUUGCGCGAGUGCAUCUUGUAUGGACAUUCACUUCCGGCGCCGUUGUCAACGUACGGGUAAAUCGCUCAGGAAGGUUGGAUAGGCAAUAGAAGCAAGGAGGGUCUGGUUCUCGUCGGUGACCGUGUCGUUGUCCCCCGACCACCUUGGCAAGCAAUUCUGGAAUUACUCUAUCUUUCCCAUUCGGGCAUCACCAAAACGAGUGAGCUGGCCAAGCAGCUCUACUAUUGGCCUGGAAUGGGAGACGAGAUCAAGCUGUGGAUCAAAAGGUGUGAAAAAUGCAUUAAAAAAUUACCGUCUCAAGCCCACGAACCCAUUCUCUCCGGCAUUGAUAUGGCCUCUUUCCCGAUGGAGGCCGUGUCCGUGGAUUUGUUUGAAGGAAGUGGAGGGGAAACACUUUUUGGUGAUGAUGGAUCACUUUAGUGGCUUCCCUUUCUUGUCCAGGAUGAAGACCACCACAACCGAUGCCGUAUGGACGAGGUUGCGGGAUUGGUUCAACGACUUUGGAUUUCCAUGUUGGUUGAAAUCAGAUGGGGGCCCCCAGUUUCGGGAUCGAUUUGCCAACUCGUGCUCUAACCUCGGCAUCACCUUUGAGACCAGCUCGCCCUACAAUCCUUGUAGUAACGGUUUGGUGGAGACAGCAGUCAAAUCCAUGAAGUCCUUGCUUCAAAAACAUGUGGGCGUUGAUGGCAGCGAAUUUCGUCUGGCACCACUGGAAAGGCAUGCCACCCAACGUCCUGACGGCUACAAAGCCGCUCUAGGAUUUUUUGGCCGCCAUCUACGGACCCGCUUUCCCACGGCUAGGUAGCAAACUUCGGCCUUCAGG